GACGAACGCUGGCGGCGUGCCUAAUACAUGCAAGUCGAACGCAGUGGGGACGGGUGAGUAACAAGUGGGUAACCUCCCAUCAGAGGGGAUAACACUUGGAAACAGGUGCUAAACCGAUAUUGGAGGAUGGACCCGCGGUGGAUUAGCUAGUUGGUGGGGUAACGUCUCACCAAGGCCACGAUGCAUAGCCGGCCUGAGAGGGUGAUCGGCAAAACUGGGAAUGAGACACGGCCCAGACUCCUACGGGAGGCAGCAGUAGGGAAUCUUGGGCAAUGGACGAAAGUCUGACCGAGCAAUGCCGCGUGAGUGAAGAAGGUUUUCGGAUCGUAAAACUCUGUUAUUAGAGAAGCGUUAUCUAACCAGAAAGCCACGGCUAACUACGUGCCAGCAGCCGCGGUAAUUC
rnacentral:rRNA from 1 species